CACUGAUUUACGGGAAGUUAAUUUUUAGGGAAGAGUAAUGAUGAGUCACUACAAUAAGCUGUCACGGCCUAAAAGACUUAAAGUGACUUCGCACAAGCAGGAAAAAGUCUACAAAGGUAUGUGAAGAAGCAUUUCAAACUCAGUAUCUGCAAUGCUCCGGUUCCCCAUGGACGCUGAUCAAAGAGGAGAAGAAUAUUGCCACCACCUCCUUCUGUUGCUCUGCCCCGUCUCUCCCCAACUCCUGUCCCCCUUCUACAGUCAGAUCAGAGACUGACAGCUUUUACAGAGCACUCCCCAUCCAUCUGGGCCUCGACGCCACAAUGCACAAAUCACAUCUAAGUAUAUCAGGACGAACUGCGCGAUGAAGGCUUUAUGUGACAAAUGGAAGUGGCUCUGUCUCACUGCAAGCUGGGCCUGGAGGAGCUCCGUGACGGGUGUAAAUUGAGCUGAUGCGCUUUAUGUUACGGCAGCAGAUUUCCAGUGGGGGAGAGGUGGAACAAGACGCAUAUUUUCUCUAGCCCAUGGUCUACUUGGAUCACUGUUGUCGUGUUGAGGUCAUCAGAGGUCAUGGACAUCACAGUUAAAUGAAAUAACUGGAGUUGUAUAUCUCAGUGAAAACAUGCAUUAUAUUGAGCAUCUGCAUGGUUUAAACAGACUCUCAGUGUAUAAAUCAAUAUCUAUCUGUGAAGUGCACCCCGCUAUGAGGAGCCAUUCAUUUGAUGUGUUGCUGUCACAUAUUCAUGUCUCAUUAACUUGAGUGACAGUCUCAAGGUGCUUCAACCUUGUUAUGACCCUGUUGAAAUUCUGUACCUAACUGCACACAAACUCGUGCUUAUGUUAGGACAUAGAUCUUGAAAAAACACAGUGAAAACUAUGUACAAUAAUAUGAUAAAAAAACAAAAA